GAUGAACGCUGGCGGCGUGCUUAACACAUGCAAGUCGAACGAAGCACUUUAUUUGAUUUCCUUCGGGACUGAUUAUUUUGUGACUGAGUGGCGGACGGGUGAGUAACGCGUGGGUAACCUGCCUUGUACAGGGGGAUAACAGUUGGAAACGGCUGCUAAUACCGCAUAAGCGCACGGCAUCGCAUGAUGCAGUGUGAAAAACUCCGGUGGUAUAAGAUGGACCCGCGUUGGAUUAGCUAGUUGGUGAGGUAACGGCCCACCAAGGCGACGAUCCAUAGCCGACCUGAGAGGGUGACCGGCCACAUUGGGACUGAGACACGGCCCAAACUCCUACGGGAGGCAGCAGUGGGGAAUAUUGCACAAUGGGCGAAAGCCUGAUGCAGCGACGCCGCGUGAGCGAAGAAGUAUUUCGGUAUGUAAAGCUCUAUCAGCAGGGAAGAUAAUGACGGUACCUGGCUAAGAAGCACCGGCUAAAUACGUGCCAGCCGCCGCCGUAA
rnacentral:rRNA from 1 species